UUAACGGUUAAAAUUAUAUUAUUCUCGUUUUCUUAUUACUUCUUCUUUAAUUUAGUUAAAUAAUUUGCCCUUCUUUUGCAGGAAUGGUACUCGAUAAUACUUCCAUCAGUGAAUUAUUCUACAUCCAAGCAUGAAGAAAAGGUAAACCAAGAAGACAGACAAUGAGGAUAUACCAGCUAUCAUGAGCAUGUUAGUGGUUUGAAAUACCCAAAAUGUUGACCUAUUCCCAUGCAUUUUUCGGGAAAUCCAUGAGAAUCGUCUGGAUGAAAGUACUACCCAAUAUAAACCAUCAUCAUCACAAAGGUAUAUUAAUGCCUACAGAGCAAGCCCAUGUAAAGCCAAAUGAUGUUCAAGAACAGCGAUAUUGAAAGGAAAAUAUAUUAAUAAAUAAGAGAGAUCAUGGAUAUUAAUUUCGAUUCAUUUUUACCCUACUGAGGAAACAAGAACCAACUUCAAUAUGAUAUUGUUCCUCCAUGUUGUCAGCGAAAAACUAGUGACUUUACUGCUUUCUGAAGGCAAGAAGGCUGUAAAAGAAGAAACCAUAAAUGAAUAGAAGAACCACAAAAAUAAUGCUGUAAGGUACCUAUUUGACAGUGCAAAAGAAAACCGAUGAUACCACAAGAUUAAACGUAAUUUUGACACAUCUUUUUGUUGCUGGUUUUUAAAAAAUUAGAUAGGAUGCCUGCAGUUAGGAUGUAAAAAGCUAAUAAGACCUAAUUGUAGUAAAAGUUACCUUUGCUAACCCUUUCCAUCGUCUUACAAUCCUGGUGGAGGCUGGAACCACCUUGAAAGAGAUAGGAUACUAUCAUUUCACAUCUGCAUGCAUGUUGCAGUUGCCUUUCGUUACCCCUUCCAUCGUCUUAAUAUCCUGGUAGAGACUGGAACUAUCUUGAAAGAAAAAUGAUACUCUGAUUCUACAUCUGCAUGCAUGCACAAUUAUUGCCGAAAAGUAUCUAAUUGACACCGCCCAUGAAAUCCGUUGGCACUAUAAGGUUCUGCGUAGUUCUUCAUUAUGGUCUCUUCUCAAAGCUGAGUAAAUAGUGUUAGAAGAGUUUUGAAAUAUUGCUUUAGUAAAUAGUUGAAAUGGUUAUUGUUGUAAAAUUAUAUAUUUAAAGUUAAAACGUAAGAUUUUCAAUUAAGGUUGUACUUGUACUNU
rnacentral:lncRNA from 1 species